CCAUAACUGACGCUCAUGGACGAAAGCCAGGGGAGCGAAAGGGAUUAGAUACCCCUGUAGUCCUGGCCGUAAACGAUGAACACUAGGUGUCGGGGGAAUCGACCCCCUCGGUGUCGUAGCCAACGCGUUAAGUGUUCCGCCUGGGGAGUACGCACGCAAGUGUGAAACUCAAAGGAAUUGACGGGGGCCCGCACAAGCGGUGGAGUAUGUGGUUUAAUUCGAUGCAACGCGAAGAACCUUACCAGGGCUUGACAUCCUGCGAACCUCUGUGAAAGCGGAGGGUGCCUUCGGGAGCGCAGUGACAGGUGGUGCAUGGCUGUCGUCAGCUCGUGUCGUGAGAUGUUGGGUUAAGUCCCGCAACGAGCGCAACCCACGUCUUUAGUUGCCAGCAUUUAGUUGGGCACUCUAGAGAGACCGCCGGUGAUAAACCGGAGGAAGGUGUGGAUGACGUCAAGUCAUCAUGCCCCUUACGUCCUGGGCUACACACGUACUACAAUGCUACGGACAAAGAGCAGCAAGUUCGCGAGGACAAGCAAAUCUCAUAAACCGUGGCUCAGUUCAGAUCGUAGGCUGCAACUCGCCUACGUGAAGGAGGAAUCGCUAGUAAUCGCAGGUCAGCAUACUGCGGUGAAUACGUUCCCGGGCCUUGUACACACCGCCCGUCACACCAUGGAAGUUGGCCACGCCCGAAGCCGUUACUCCAACCCUCGGGAGGAGGACGUCGAAGGUGGGGCUGAUGACUGGGGUGAAGUCGUAACAAGGUAACC
rnacentral:rRNA from 1 species